AUUGAACGCUGGCGGCAGGCCUAACACAUGCAAGUCGAGCGGAUGAAGGGAGCUUGCUCCUGGAUUCAGCGGCGGACGGGUGAGUAAUGCCUAGGAAUCUGCCUGGUAGUGGGGGAUAACGUCCGGAAACGGGCGCUAAUACCGCAUACGUCCUGAGGGAGAAAGUGGGGGAUCUUCGGACCUCACGCUCUCAGAUGAGCCUAUGUCGGAUUAGCUAGUUGGUGGGGUAAAGGCCUACCAAGGCGACGAUCCGUAACUGGUCUGAGAGGAUGAUCAGUCACACUGGAACUGAGACACGGACCAGACUCCUACGGGAGGCAGCAGUGGGGAAUAUUGGACAAUGGGCGAAAGCCUGAUCCAGCCAUGCCGCGUGUGUGAAGAAGGUCUUCGGAUUGUAAAGCACUUUAAGUUGGGAGGAAGGGCAGUAAGUUAAUACCUUGCUGUUUUGACGUUACCAACAGAAUAAGCACCGGCUAACUUCGUG
rnacentral:rRNA from 1 species